rnacentral:tRNA from 1 species
GGGCGUUUGGCGCAGUGGUAGCGCGUCCGCUUUGCAUGCGGAAGGUCUAGGGUUCAAUCCCCUAAACGUCCA